AGCGAACGCUGGCGGCAGGCCUAACACAUGCAAGUCGAACGAACUCUUCGGAGUUAGUGGCGGACGGGUGAGUAACACGUGGGAACGUGCCCUUUGGUACGGAAUAACUCAGGGAAACUUGAGCUAAUACCGUAUGUGCCCUUCGGGGGAAAGAUUUAUCGCCAUUGGAGCGGCCCGCGUCUGAUUAGCUAGUUGGUGAGGUAAAGGCUCACCAAGGCUACGAUCAGUAGCUGGUCUGAGAGGAUGAUCAGCCACAUUGGGACUGAGACACGGCCCAAACUCCUACGGGAGGGAGGAGUGGGGGAUCCUGCGCAAUGGGCGAAAGCCUGACGCAGCCAUGCCGCGUGAAUUAUGAAGGUCUUAGGAUUGUAAAAUUCUUUCAACGGGGACGAUAAUGACGGUACCCGGAGAAGAAGCCCCGGCUAACUUCGUG
rnacentral:rRNA from 1 species